rnacentral:rRNA from 1 species
UCCAGACUCCUACGGGAGGCAGCAGUGGGGAAUAUUGCACAAUGGGGGGAACCCUGAUGCAGCGACGCCGCGUGGGUGAAGGAGUACUUCGGUACGUAAAGCCCUAUCAGCAGGAAAGAAAAUGACGGUACCUGACUAAGAAGCCCCGGCUAACUACGUGCCAGCAGCCGCGGUAAUACGUAGGGGGCAAGCGUUAUCCGGAUUUACUGGGUGUAAAGGGCGCGUAGGUGGGCGCUUAAGUCAGGUGUGAAAACUCCGGGCUCAACCUGGAGACUGCACUUGAAACUGGGUGUCUUGAGGGCAGGAGAGGAAAGUGGAAUUCCUAGUGUAGCGGUGAAAUGCGUAGAUAUUAGGAGGAACACCAGUGGCGAAGGCGACUUUCUGGACGGUACCUGACGCUGAGGCGCGAAAGCGUGGGUAGCGAACGGGAUUAGAUACCCUGGUACUA